AGAGUUUGAUCCUGGCUCAGAUUGAACGCUGGCGGCAGGCCUAACACAUGCAAGUCGAGCGGAUGAUGGGAGCUUGCUCCCGGAUUCAGCGGCGGACGGGUGAGUAAUGCCUAGGAAUCUGCCUGGUAGUGGGGGACAACGUUUCGAAAGGAACGCUAAUACCGCAUACGUCCUACGGGAGAAAGCAGGGGACCUUCGGGCCUUGCGCUAUCAGAUGAGCCUAGGUCGGAUU
rnacentral:rRNA from 1 species